ACGAGAGUUCUUUGAAUGAGUUUUCGGACAAAUGAGAUUUAACGAAAGUGGCGAACGGGUGAGUAACACGUGAGCAACCUGCCUUACGCAGGGGGAUAGCCAUUGGAAACGGUGAUUAAUACCCCAUAAGACCACAAUACCGCAUGGUAAAAGGGUAAAAGGGAUACCGGUGUAAGAUGGGCUCGCGUCUGAUUAGCUAGUUGGUGGGGUAAAGGCCUACCAAGGCGACGAUCAGUAGCCGGUCUGAGAGGAUGAACGGCCACAUUGGAACUGAGACACGGUCCAAACUCCUACGGGAGGCAGCAGUGGGGAAUAUUGCACAAUGGGGGAAACCCUGAUGCAGCGACGCCGCGAGCGAAGAAGGCUUUCGAGUCGUAAAGCUCUGUCCUAUGAGAAGAUAAUGACGGUAUCAUAGGAGGAAGCCCUGGCUAAAUACGUGCCAGCAGCCGCGGUAAUACGUAUGGGGCGAGCGUUGUCCGGAAUUAUUGGGCGUAAAGGGUACGUAGGCGGUUUUUUAAGUCAGGUGUCAAAGCGUGGAGCUUAACUCCAUUAAGCACUUGAAACUGAAAGACUUGAGUGAAGGAGAGGAAAGUGGAAUUCCUAGUGUAGCGGUGAAAUGCGUAGAUAUUAGGAGGAAUACCGGUGGCGAAGGCGACUUUCUGGACUUUUACUGACGCUCAGGUACGAAAGCGUGGGGAGCAAACAGGAUUGGAUACCCUGGUAGUCCACGCCGUAAACGAUGAAUGCUAGGUGUUGGGAGUCAAAUCUCGGUGCCGAAGUUAACACAUUAAGCAUUCCGCCUGGGGAGUACGGUGGCAACACUGAAACUCAAAGGAAUUGACGGG
rnacentral:rRNA from 1 species